rnacentral:misc_RNA from 1 species
GAAAUGCGAUAAGUAAUGUGAAUUGCAGAAUUCAGUGAUUCAUCGAAUCUUUGAACGCACCUUGCGCUCCUUGGUAUUCCUUGGAGCAUGCCUGUUUGAGUAUCAUGAAAUCUUCAAAGUAAAUCUUUUGUUAACUCAAUUGGUUUCUACUUUGGUAUUGGAGGUCUUUGCAGCUUCACACCUGCUCCUCUUUGUUCAUUAGCUGGAUCUCAGUGUUAUGCUUGGUUCCACUCGGCGUGAUAAGUUAUCUAUCGCUGAGGACACUGUAAAAGGUGGCCAAGGUAAAUGCAGAUGAACCGCUUCUAAUAGUCCAUUGACUUGGACAAUACUUUUAUGAUCUGAUCUCAAAUCAGGUAGGACUACCCGCUGAACUUAAGC